AUUGAACGCUGGCGGCAGGCCUAACACAUGCAAGUCGAGCGAGCGGCGGACGGGUGAGUAAUGUCUGGGAAACUGCCUGAUGGAGGGGGAUAACUACUGGAAAAGGUAGCUAAUACCGCAUCCCAUCAGAUGUGCCCAGAUGGGAUUAGCUAGUAGGUGGGGUAACGGCUAACAUAGGCGACGAUCCCUAGCUGGGCUGGAAGGAUGACCAGCCACACUGGACCUGAGACACGGUCCAGACUCCUACGGUAGGCAGCAGUGGGGAAGAUUGGACAAUGGGCGAAAGCCUGAGCCAGCCAUGCCGCGUGUGUGAAGAAGGUCUUCGGAUUGUAAAGCACUUUAAGUUGGGAGGCGUUACCAACAGAAUAAGCACCGGCUAACUCCGUGCCAGCAGCCGCGGUAAUUC
rnacentral:rRNA from 1 species